CGCUAUUGCAGAUUGAAAGCAGCAGCAAUCAGAGCUAGGUGGCAGAGCCCCGUGUCCUGACUAGUAACUUUUGUUCAAGUCUUGAAUUCUGAUCCUCAUAGGACAGUGGAGGACAUUGCCUCUAGCCUGCUAGUGAAAGCUGGGACCUGCCCACCAGAUUACACAAAGUGUUAUCAGGCUCAAACUGAUCAGUGUGCCACGGAUUAUGACUGCAAAGAGCAGAAGAAGUGCUGUUAUUGCCAUUGUGCCAUGCAGUGUGUGGAAGCAGCAGAAGAGACUCCUGGGACUUGUCCAGCCAUCACUGAAGUUUGUCCCAUGAUUAAUCCUCCUAACCA